GACGAACGCUGGCGGCGUGCUUAACACAUGCAAGUCGAACGAGAACGGGUUAUAGCUUGCUAUAAUUGUCAGCUAAGUGGCGCACGGGUGAGUAAUGUAUAGGUAAUAUGCCUCUUACUAAGGGAGAACAAAUGGAAACGUUUGCUAAUACCUUAUACUCCUUAUUAACAGAAGUUAAUAAGGGAAAGAUUUAUUGGUAAGAGAUUAGCCUGUAUUGUAUCAGUUAGUUGGUGGGGUAAUGGCUUACCAAGACUAUGACACAUAACUGGUUUGAGAGGAUGAUCAGUCACACUGGAACUGAGACACGGUCCAGACUCCUACGGGAGGCAGCAGUGGGGAAUAUUGCACAAUGGACGAAAGUCUGAUGCAGCAACGCCGCGUGGAGGAUGACACAUAUCGGUGCGUAAACUCCUUUUAUAUGAGAAGAUAAUGACGGUAUUAUAUGAAUAAGCACCGGCUAACUCCGUGCCAGCCGCCGCAGUAA
rnacentral:rRNA from 1 species